AACGAACGCUGGCGGCAUGCCUAACACAUGCAAGUCGAACGAGACCUUCGGGCCUAGUGGCGCACGGGUGCGUAACGCGUGGGAACCUGCCCUUAGGUUCGGAAUAACUCCCCGAAUGGGGUGCUAAUACCGGAUAAUGUCUUCGGACCAAAGAUUUAUCGCCUUUGGAUGGGCCCGCGUUGGAUUAGCUAGUUGGUAGGGUAAAAGCCUACCAAGGCGACGAUCCAUAGCUGGUCUGAGAGGAUGAUCAGCCACACUGGGACUGAGACACGGCCCAGACUCCUACAGGAGGCAGCAGUGGGGAAUAUUGGACAAUGGGCGAAAGCCUGAUGCAGCAAUGCCGCGUGAGUGAUGAAGGCCUUAGGGUAGUAAAGCUCUUUUACCCGGGAUGAUAAUGACAGUACCGGGAGAAUAAGCACCGGCUAACUCCGUG
rnacentral:rRNA from 1 species